UGGCAGAUCAUCUUACAGAGUUGAACACU
rnacentral:piRNA from 1 species